rnacentral:rRNA from 1 species
GAUGAACGCUGGCGGCGUGCCUAAUACAUGCAAGUCGAGCGAAUGGAUUAAGAGCUUGCUCUUAUGAAGUUAGCGGCGGACGGGUGAGUAACACGUGGGUAACCUGCCCAUAAGACUGGGAUAACUCCGGGAAACCGGGGCUAAUACCGGAUAACAUUUUGAACCGCAUGGUUCGAAAUUGAAAGGCGGCUUCGGCUGUCACUUAUGGAUGGACCCGCGUAGCAUUAGCUAGUUGGUGAGGUAACGGCUCACCAAGGCAACGAUGCGUAGCCGACCUGAGAGGGUGAUCGGCCACACUGGGACUGAGACACGGCCGAGACUCCUACGGGAGGCAGCAGUAGGGAAUCUUCCGCAAUGGACGAAAGUCUGACGGAGCAACGCCGCGUGAGUGAUGAAGGCUUUCGGGUCGUAAAACUCUGUUGUUAGGGAAGAACAAGUGCUAGUUGAAUAAGCUGGCACCUUGACGGUACCUAACCAGAAAGCCACGGCUAACUACGUGCCAGCCGCCGCCGUAA